AAAUUUAGGUUACCACAAACCAAGGACCUUCAAAGCCCUAAACAGAAUAAAUUAUUCUAAUUUCUG
rnacentral:tRNA from 1 species